UCCUAGAAUUUCAUUUGUAAAAAUACGCAUUCAAUUUGUAUGAUACUGUUUUUAUAUUUUCUGUUUGAUACAGAAAUAAGAAAUGGAAACUUAAAAGCCAUUCUAGGGCUGUUUUUCAGUUUGUCUCGCUACAAACAGCAGCAACACCGUCAACAGCAGUAUUACCAGUCCUUGGUGGAACUUCAGCAACGAGUCACUCACACAUCCCCUCCUUUGGAAGCCAGUCAGGUCAAAACACAGCAAGAUAUGCAGUCCAGUCUGACAGCCAGAUAUGCAACUCAGUCUAAUCACAGUGGAAUUGCAACCAGUCAGAAAAAGCCUACUAGACUUCCUGGACCCUCUCGGGUGCCAGCCGCAGGCAGCAGCAGCAAGGCCCAAGGAUCAUCUAAUCUAAACAGAAGGAGUCAGAGCUUUAACAGCAUUGACAAAAACAAG
rnacentral:lncRNA from 1 species